rnacentral:rRNA from 1 species
UACGUAGGGAGCAAGCGUUGUCCGGAUUCACUGGGUGUAAAGGGUGCGCAGGCGGAUUGGCAAGUCAGAGGUGAAAUCUCACGGCUCAACCGUGAAACUGCCUUUGAUACUGCUGAUCUUGAGUUAGGGAGAGGUUGAUGGAAUUCUAGGUGUAGCGGUGAAAUGCGUAGAUAUCUAGAAGAACACCAGUGGCGAAGGCGAGUCCCUGGACAACUCCUGACACUGAUGCACGAAAGCUAGGGGAGCAAACAGG